rnacentral:rRNA from 1 species
GUAGUUAGCCGGGGCUUCCUCCUUGGCUACCGUCACUUUCUUCGUCACCAAGGACAGAGGUUUACAACCCGAAAGCCUUCUUCCCUCACGCGGCGUUGCUGGGUCAGGCUUGCGCCCAUUGCCCAAUAUUCCCCACUGCUGCCUCCCGUAGGAGUCUGGACCGUGUCUCAGUUCCAGUGUGGCCGAUCAGCCUCUCAGCUCGGCUACCCAUCGCGGACUUGGUGGGCCGUUACCCCGCCAACUAUCUAAUGGGACGCGAACCCCUCCUUCUGCGGAUUGCUCCUUUGACCUCAUCCCGAUGCCGGGUCGUGGUCUUAUGCGGUAUUAGCACUUGUUUCCAGGUGUUAUCCCCCUCAAAAGGUCAGGUUGUUCACGCGUUACUCACCCGUUCGCCACUCAGUUACCAACCGAAAUCGAUAACUCCGUUCGACUUGCAUGUGUUAGGCACGCCGCCAGCGUUCGUCCUGAGCCAGGAUCAAACUCUGA